rnacentral:rRNA from 1 species
CCUACGGGGGGCUGCAGUGGGGAAUAUUGGACAAUGGGCGCAAGCCUGAUCCAGCCAUACCGCGUGGGUGAAGAAGGCCUUCGGGUUGUAAAGCCCUUUUGUUGGGAAAGAAAUCCAGCCGGCUAAUACCUGGUUGGGAUGACGGUACCCAAAGAAUAAGCACCGGCUAACUUCGUGCCAGCAGCCGCGGUAAUACGAAGGGUGCAAGCGUUACUCGGAAUUACUGGGCGUAAAGCGUGCGUAGGUGGUUAUUUAAGUCCGUUGUGAAAGCCCUGGGCUCAACCUGGGAACUGCAGUGGAUACUGGAUGACUAGAAUGUGGUAGAGGGUAGCGGAAUUCCUGGUGUAGCAGUGAAAUGCGUAGAGAUCAGGAGGAACAUCCAUGGCGAAGGCAGCUACCUGGACCAACAUUGACACUGAGGCACGAAAGCGUGGGGAGCAAACAGGAUUAGAUACCCGAGUAGUC